GUGUCAGCAGCCGCGGUAAUACGAGAGGUCCAAACGUUAUUCGGAUUUACUGGGCUUAAAGAGUUCGUAGGCGGCUAAGUAAGUGGGGUGUGAAAUCCCUCGGCUCAACCGAGGAACUGCGCUCCAAACUACUUAGCUAGAGGAAGAUAGAGGUAAGCGGAACAGAUGGUGGAGCGGUGAAAUGCGUUGAUAUCAUCUGGAACACCGGAGGCGAAGGCGGCUUACUGGGUCUUUUCUGACGCUGAGGAACGAAAGCUAGGGGAGCAAACGGGAUUAGAUACCCCGGUAGUCCUAGCCGUAAACGAUGAGCACUGGACCGGAGCUCUGCACAGGGUUUCGGUCGUAGCGAAAGUGUUAAGUGCUCCGCCUGGGGAGUAUGGUCGCAAGGCUGAAACUCAAAUGAAUUGACGG
rnacentral:rRNA from 1 species